rnacentral:rRNA from 1 species
UGGUGGAGUGAUUUGUCUGCUUAAUUGCGUUAACGAACGAGACCUUAACCUGCUAAAUAGUCCCAGCGAUCCUCGGAUAGCUGGCCGACUUCUUAGAGGGACUUUGUGUUUUUCAGCGCAAGGAAGUUUGAGGCAAUAACA